rnacentral:lncRNA from 1 species
GCCACAGAGAGAAGUGAAGAGAGGCAGGAGAGUCACAGGUGUGCUGUCGGUGAGCUUUGGGAGAGCGGUGGCUGCAGGCUGGUGGGUGGAACCAGGCAGACUGUGGACGGUCCUGUGCCUGGCGGAUGAGUCCUGUGCCUGGGUCUGGUGGAUCUAGAACGGGGCAAGAUGGAGCAGCAGACAAAGAGGCAUUGGGGACCUGGAGCCUGGGUCCAGGCCCGAGACUGAAGGACUUGACCUCCUGUGCCCUCCUCUGGCUGAAGGAUUUGAUGAUCUCUCUGGAACCUGUUUCUGGAUCACUUCCAAGAAGAGGCAGCCAUCAACGGGCUGGACAUAAGGAAGACCAGUGGCUGCUGAGGAGGCCUGGGGGAGAGACGUGUCCACUUCCGGUGCUCCAUUCUGGAUGGUCGCUCACCAAGUCAGCGAGAUCCCUCUCAGGGAAUUUUGAAUGAGAGAUGGGGAGAAAGAAAAACUCAACGAGAUGCAAAAGCAAUAGACGCAGAGGAGGAGAGGAGGAGGCAGAGAGAGGCUGGCAAGACGGAGAGGUUGAUGCAUGUGCAGCUCGCAUCCUGGGGCAGAACCUGGAUCAAGAUGGCUGUCACCAGAGCAGCUGGAGGGGCCACAGCACAGUCAGGGUUGUACCCUGCACAGCCCUCCACCAAGGGCUGCUUUCCUGAACAUCCUUCCCAGUGUCACUUGAUGUAACCUGAAUGAGUCUAAUAAACUUGAAAAAACC